rnacentral:rRNA from 1 species
UUGACCUCAGAUCAGGUAGGAAUACCCGCUGAACUUAAGCAUAUCAAUAAGCGGAGGAAAAGAAACCAACAGGGAUUGCCUCAGUAACGGCGAGUGAAGCGGCAACAGCUCAAAUUUGAAAU